rnacentral:rRNA from 1 species
ACGCUCGACACCUACGGGAGGCAGCAGUGGGGAAUAUUGCACAAUGGGGGAAACCCUGAUGCAGCGACGCCGCGUGAAGGAUGAAGUAUUUCGGUAUGUAAACUUCUAUCAGCAGGGAAGAAAGUGACGGUACCUGACUAAGAAGCCCCGGCUAACUACGUGCCACAGCCGCGGUAAUCUGAGCGGGCUGGCAAGGC